rnacentral:misc_RNA from 1 species
GAAAGUCCCAACAUCAUACCAUGCACCAUCCCUUGCAGAUUUGGCUUUGAAUUCUAUAUAAGAAACUUCUGUAAUAACCCUUCCUGCACUAGAGACUACUCAAGAAGUGAUAGCUAAAUAAAUUAAAGAAUAACAAGCUUUUAAGCAUGCAUUUAAAAUAAUGAGUUCUUUCAGCAUUGUCAGGGGAAGUGAAUGGCAGUUGUUCUUCAAUCCUUUUUCCAGGUGUUUGAUACAGUUUCUAAACAACUAAUCAGGACUUAAAAUGGCAUGUAAUCACCAUUUUAUGAAAUACUCCACAAACAUUUAGUUUUUGGCAGAUGCAAGGAAAGGAUGCAGAACUAUUUAUUCCAAAAUGCUCAGAAAAAGCAUUUUGGACAUUUCCCCCUCACAUAUACUAAAACCAAAAAGCGUGGAUAACUAAUAUAAGUGUUAAUGUCUCAUUGGUUUGGAAUAGGGGUAAUACACCCCUUAUACGGCCUUAGGCACUCCUCUCUCUUUAAGCUAGUUUUUGGGAGUGAAUUAGACCCGGUCCAUUUUCUUAA